rnacentral:rRNA from 1 species
GACGAACGCUGGCGGCGUGCUUAACACAUGCAAGUCGAACGGCAAGGCCCUUCGGGGUACACGAGUGGCGAACGGGUGAGUAACACGUGGGUGAUCUGCCCUGCACUUCGGGAUAAGCCUGGGAAACUGGGUCUAAUACCGGAUAGGACCACUGCCUGCAUGGGUGGUGGUGGAAAGCUUUUGCGGUGUGGGAUGGGCCCGCGGCCUAUCAGCUUGUUGGUGGGGUGAUGGCCUACCAAGGCGACGACGGGUAGCCGGCCUGAGAGGGUGACCGGCCACACUGGGACUGAGAUACAGCCCAGACUCCUACGGGAGGCAGCAGUGGGGAAUAUUGCACAAUGGGCGCAAGCCUGAUGCAGCGACGCCGCGUGAGGGAUGACGGCCUUCGGGUUGUAAACCUCUUUCAGCACCGACGAAGCGCAAGUGACGGUAGGUGCAGAAGAAGGACCGGCCAACUACGUGCCAGCCGCCGCGGUAA